rnacentral:piRNA from 1 species
AAGAAUUUCAGAAAAGAGAAGAG